rnacentral:lncRNA from 1 species
AUUUUGUUUAGUUUCUAAUCACAAAAUGGUGUUUUUUCCUGUAUAAUCCAUACAAAAUGUGUCAUUUUGUCCCGUCCUGUAGCUUGAGAAAAUGCGCGGUGACCUAUCAUUUUUAUUAUAUUUUUCAACAUGUAUCAAUAGAUACAACGUUUUGGCAAAGUAUGAACAAAUUCUAUCAUUUUUAUUUUAGACUCCCAUACCACCUUAAUAGAAGAAAAUGAGAUCAU